rnacentral:RNase_P_RNA from 1 species
CGAGUCAGCUGGGUAAUCGCCGCUAUUUGAUAGAAAUAUCAGACGGGGGAGGAAAGUCCGGGCUCCACAGAGCAGGGUGCCAGGUAACUCCUGGGGGGCGUGAGCCUACGGAAAGUGCAGCAGAAAAUAAACCGCCUAAGUGGCCGUUACUUCGGUAAUGGCUACCGGUAAGGGUGAAAUGGUGCGGUAAGAGCGCACCGCGCGGGUGGCAACACUUCGUGGCAUGGUAAACCCCACCUGGAGCAAGACCAAAUAGAAAUCCACUGGCGUUGCUCGCGCUGGAUUUGGGUAGGUUGCUUGAGGCCAGUAGUGAUGCUGGCCCUAGAUGA